rnacentral:misc_RNA from 1 species
GAAAUGCGAUAAGUAGUGUGAAUUGCAGAAUUCAGUGAAUCAUCGAAUCUUUGAACGCACAUUGCGCCCUUUGGUAUUCCUUAGGGCAUGCCUGUUCGAGCGUCAUCUAAACCCUCAAGCCCUGCUUGGUGUUGGGUGCCUGUCCCGCCCCCGUGCGCGGACUCACCUCAAAUCCAUUGGCGGCCCUCGUGCCGGCCCCGAGCGCAGCAGAAACGCGGUCUCGUGGCCCGUCGGAGCGUGCCCCCAGAAGCAACAUUCACCGUUUUGACCUCGGAUCAGGUAGGGAUACCCGCUGAACUUAAGC